GUUUUUAGAGUUCUUAAAGAAUACGACUUUGAAGGGGUUGAGGGUAAUGAGGCAUGUGUAUUAUUUUAAGUUA
rnacentral:tRNA from 1 species